CAAGCACCAUGAUACCAAGACAGUGGAUCUGAUAACGGAGAUGGCUAUUAAAUGACUAAUGUGGGGCGGGAGGGAAUACCCUGAACCAAAGUGUGACUCACUUCCCGGGUGGGACAUAGAAAGACCGUGCAAGAUUUCAUCAGUCUACUCAGAAUGGCACACAAUUUAAAACUCAUGAAUUGUUCCUUUCUGCAACUUUCCAUUUAAUAUUUUCAGAUUGCAGUUGUCCGUGAGUAAAUGAAAUCGUGGAAAGCAAAUCAGCAGAUGAGGAGGGACUUGCCUAUCGCCUGAUUCCAUGAGGAAUUUAAGGCAGCUGAGGAAUAUAAGGAAGAUAUUUAAGGAUGAACGUUGAAACAAAAAGGGGUUGCUGCUUAACCUGGAAAUUCAAUUUAGCAGAGUGGUUCAUUCAAAAUGUUCCAGGGAAAGGAAAUUCAUAUGAGGAGAAAAUAGAAGAAAAUGGAGAGAAAGACGAAAACAAGAAAAAAGUUAUGCACAAAAUUCCUACAUAGGGUUACA
rnacentral:lncRNA from 1 species